GGAAGUUGACAAGUCCUCGUACACGUGUUUUAUUAUUUUAUUUAGCUAUAAUACAUGCAGAUCUUUCCAAGAGGACUUUAAAUAUUUAUUACAAGUUGGACGUGCCAAACAAGGUCUAAGCUCGGCCACCAUCAUUCCCUGGCAACUGUAGGAAGGAUAUGAGCCCCUUAUCAGACUGCGUCUCCCAAACAAAUGCUUGGUACUGGUUGUCAUUUGUGGCUUCAAUAAUGAGGUUGUACAGUGUGAUACCCCACUGAUUGAUCUUCGAUCCCUUAAUCACGCACUUGAAUUUCAAGUGCCCUCCUUUCCUUCUAUUUUCCUCCGCCACGGCGUACUUUGAGACUCGAUCGUAAUCUUUGUUCUCGACCAUAACCCAUUCUUGGGAUUGCAGUUGAACCCCUUGAGCCACUUGAGCCAUCGUCCGGUGGUCGGAGACUUGUCAAAGUUGUGGGUUGUGGGUUUUGGUGGAGGUCUGGUGGUGGUGGUGUUGGCUGCUCGAAUUUAUAGACUUGGAAGAUAGAAGGAUGGGAAUUGCCCUUCUAGGUUCCUGAAAUUACGGGAAUACUAAUAGUGGGUUUGGACAGGGACAGCUGAUGUUGAUAGUUGAUACCAUCCUCCAAUUUUAUUUUAUUUUAUUUUUUAAAAUGAAAAUAAUUUUAUUGUAAUUUUUAAUUUUAAUUUUAUUAUUUUUUAAAAUUGAAAAUAAUUUUAUUGUUUGAUGAUCUGCUUUUAUUUUUUAUUUUUGCAAUUUGAAUGAAAAAUUUUGAAAUUUUUUAUAUUCUUAAAUUAUUUUAAGAUAAUCUAUUUUUUUUUUCCAUUGUCAUGUGAUUAUUAAAGAUAUGUUUUUUAAAUACAAAAAUACAAUUAAAAAAACAAAACAUAUUUAAUAACCAAAAAAAAUAUUUUUUAUUUUUAAAAAUAGAAAAAAAAAUUAAUAUAACUUUUUUUUUAGGGAGAUGAGGUAACCAAUAUUGGGACCCAAAAUAUUCUUAUGACAUGAAUAAUUGAUAGAAGAAUUGUCUAUUCCUAUUCCUACUGUCAUAACAUUUUCAUCUUCCUUGAAUUGAUUAUAUGCCCUAACUCUCCUUCAAGAUUAAGUUUACAAAUCUUACUCCAUAUGAUUAUUCUAUUUAGGAAUGAUAUUGGAAUAGGAUUCAAAAGGAAGGGUCACUCUCAUCCUAACCCUAUCACGAUUAUUUAUUUAGAUAUAUUCUCAUCCUUGUCAAUGGAAAAAAAAAGGUAAACAGGGUAUGAUUGGUGGGUAUGAGAAUUCUUGGUACCCACCUUGCACCCAAUUUAAUUUUUUUAUUCAAAAUGUUUUUAGUUUUUAAAAUUUAGAUUAUAUAAAAAAUAAAUAUAAUUAAAAUUAGAAAAUUUUAUAAUUUAUUUCAAUAAUAUAUAUAUUAUAUGUAUUAAACAAGAAAAAAUAAAAAAAUAUUUUUAUUAAUUAAUUAUAUAUAAACUUAUCAAAUAAAGCAAUACUCAAACAUAUGGCUAGUUUAAAAAAAAGUCACGCAUUUGUUCUAAACUUGCUUAUUAUUUUUUAAAAUCCUUCUCACUAGAAAUGGUACCCACAAAGACUAGUUUCAUUAUCAUCCCUAAGCUAUCAUAGGUUUUGGUUUUUUUUUUUUUUCAUAUCAAACUUGAAACGAAUGAAGAAUUUCGAGAACCAUAUUAAGAGCUUUGGCCAGGUAGAAGACCAAGAUUUUUGCUUAUUAUUUUAUAUGAAAAUGUUAAAUAAGCUAAAAGUUUAAAAAUGAUUUGCAGAUUUGAACUUUUAAGUGUCUUUUAAAUGAAACACCACCUAAUUAAGCUUCGAGAUACUUUGGAGGGUUUCUUAAACACUAGCAUUUGAAAGUCAAAUAAAAGAUUCAAAGGUACAACUCCAAUACUUUCAAACGGCAAUGUGACAAGCAAGGUUUUACUUAAUUGAUUUUGAAAGUAUUGAACUUUGGAAUUAAUAAUUACAUAUAAAUUAAUGCAUUUUCUAGCAUGUGACUUCAUUCAAAAGGAUUUAAUGGCAUACUUGAAAGAUAGCCCAAUGAGUCAAAGGCAUGCUUUGAUAAUUGGUUUAUAUGGAUCUUUAUUAAUUGAAAUUAAAAUUAUGUAUUUUUUUUUAUAUCCAAACUCAAAAAAAUACAAAAUUCCAUGAAUCUUCUUUAACUAAUAUAUAUACUGAUAAUGGUUUCAAUUUUAAGGGAAUCUCAUAUGCAUUUUCUCACAUUUUUGAAUAAGCAAUAAGACAUGGGAGCAUUGGAACAUCCCACUUUGAAAGCUUAACCUUGGGAGAAUGAUAAGCUUCACCAAUUGAAUGUUUGACAUACAAAGAUGAGUAGUUGAUUUAGAACUUAAGAUAAUAUGAGUUAUUAUUUAUUAUAUAUAUAUAUAUAAAAGAAAAAUGUUUCUUACCAUUUUUCCUAAGGAUCAUUUAGUAAUGUUUUAUGAUGUAUCAUUGAGAAAAGCAUUCAAUUGAGAAGUCUUAUGUACCAUGAGAAAGUACGGGAAGAAUUUCUUUUUCUAAUAAUUUUAAAUUUAAGAGAUGACAACCUAAAUAUCCCAAGGUUUAAAAAGUUAUUUUUAAAAACCUAUUCACAUAAAUAUCUUUAAUUAUAGCUAUAAAUUUUUAUAAUAGUACGAUAUAAUGGUUAUUUAUUUAUUCAAAAAUAUCUCAUCAUCUUAGCUUGGUGAAACAAUCCUAAAACAUUGUUCAAUAAAUUUAAAAAGCAGUGGACUACAAUAUGAAUAAGUUAAUAACGUUCGAGGAUAAAUAAGACAUGUGUUUUAUCCUUGAAAAUCACUUAUACAUGUAACCACCGACUUCAACACAAGUAAAUCACCUAUUGUGAUAUGCAUAACCAUCUUUGAUUAUAAAUAAAGUAUGAGCUAUUAGAAAAGCUCACUUUUGAACUCCUAUACUUAAAAGAUAACAUAUUUUCAUAAAUCUCGAUGACUUUAUUAUAAGUUAUGCUUAUGUCACACGAAGAGUAGCACUCCAGAUGACUUUAUUACAAGUUACAAUUACGAGCUUAAUUUGAUAUUGGAGGUAAGUUCGUUCACGUGAGAAUUGGUUUGCAGGGUUUAAGGUAAGUGAGCGCUUUGAAGCCAUCGAAGCUCUCAUACACAAGAGUGUCAUACUUGGUCAAGACACCGUCGUGUUCAGCCUAAAUGAUGAGUUUGUAAUUGAUACCAUUGAUGACCUGCGUCCACCCUGUUGAGGCCUCGCGUCGCUGGUGAUCUACGUAGUUGCCAAAUGGAUGGACGCACGAUCUCAACCAAUAUAGGUUCUUGAUUCAGUUGCUCCACCUGCAAAAGGCGUCCGGACGGGGUGUCCGGACGCACCCUCCGAAGGUUUUGUCAGCCAUGGUUAGAGAGAGAUAAAUCAGUUGGCCUUUUACUAGGAUUAGCAAGUUUACCUUCCCCUUUGUGUGAAGGUUUGUAUAUAUAGUUAUCAGAAGCUUUGUUCCCCUCUUCAAUGGUGGGGAGAUAUUUUGUGUUGUCAUGAUGACACUAGGUGGUGGCAGGGCCAUCAUCACCCUAUGGGCGGUUGACAGAGAUCGUGGUAGGUGAUGCGGCUGUCAGAGAUCAUGGUAGGUGAUCAUAUGAAAUGAUCGUGGGAAGUGACUUGUUGUCACUUCGUCUUGUCCUUUCACUCUGCAGGUGGCGGAACGUGGGCUAUGGCAGGCUGUUGUGAUAACGUGUAAGACUUGCUUUACUUCAGUCAAUGACCCAGACAAUCAUAUCCGGAUGUUUAUGUUUAUAAGUGUCAUUUGCCCUUCCUUGAGGCAGUCUGGAUAGGAGAAGCGCGCCUCUUGGGAAAAUCCGGAUGAGGUUGAUCCGGAUGAGAAUGCAUGCCACGCGUCAUCAGGAGAUGUGUGCCACGUGUGGGGAGGGGUCCCUACAAUGCCCCCCUUUUUAACUUGCCUAUUUUGCCUAAGCAAAAAUGGGCGGGUUAAAAAUAAUUGGUUUUUUGAAACUGAGUUUACUUUUUGCGCUCAUUGAGCCACGUGGCAAGCGGGGGCGAAGAGAGAGAAGAGCAUUUAUGAUGAGCCGCCGUCUCUGUGUAUCCCCAGGCAGCAUGUCGUUUCAAUGAUAGCGUAGCUGAUCGUUUGGUAUACCGAGGGGCUGUCGCCCUAUAAAUAGCGUAUUGUGCCUUCUGCUGCACUUUUCCUAUUGCGUUUUUUCUGCGAGUGUUUCUUCUUCUUCCUUCUGCGUACCUUUGCUUUUUGAGUGAAGCCCUAGGGUUUUCUGCUGGAGAUUUUCGCGUCUUGAUGUGACUGUAUUGCGGUUUCGAACCCUUUUCUUCCAUUUUUGCACCUGGUACGUAUAUCUGCUCUUAUCUUUUCCCGGUUGCUUUGGUUUUGUUGGUUUGCCUGUGGCUUGUUUGGGCGAGUGUCUGUGCGACUGGGUGUUUUUCAGUGAGUCCGAGGGUUUUUGUUGCCCCCCUGUGUUUUAUGUGGGUUGUGGUUUUUCUUUGGUAGGGUCAAGGGUUUUGGAAUGGGCAUACUGGUGGUGUGAGAUUUUCUGAGAGUUUCUGUCGUUUAGGGUUUGUGGGUUUGGUUUGCUGUAUUUUUUACUGUUGGUACUUCCUUCAUGCAGAUUUUUUAUCAUGAGGCUGAAAAAUGUCUGCGACCCAAGAAGUGACCUCAUCUGGCCCGGCCGGUGAUGCUUUUGAAAAAUCUGUAGAUAAACUGAGUGUAAAGGAGUUCCGAGAACGUUUCUGUAUCCCAAAUGGCGUGCUUGUGGAUUUUAUGGACGAUGAAGAGGUCGUGUCUACUGAGAAAGCCGAAGGCCGUGCCAUCACCUUCUCAAAUGAGCAAUUUAACGCUGGGCUCCGAUUCCCUCUCCCGGCGCUGUUCAAGGAAUUCCUCCAUUUUACUCAGAUCCCACCAGCCUUCAUCCACCUCAAUACAGUCCGGGUGCUGAUGGGAUGCAGCAUUCUAAACAUGCUGUUCAACCUUGACCUUUCGCUGUUGGAGGUUCUUUUUGUUUACUCCCUGAAGAAGGGAAAAAAUGAUAUCUUCAGUAUGGCCGCCCAUCUGCCCUCUCUUCAAUUGGUGACUGAGUUGCCAGAUUCGACGAAAGGAGGGGCGAAGGGGUAUGUGGUGGUCUGAGGUGCCUGGGCGGGUCUUUUGGAGCAUCCGGAUAGGCCUUUUUCUCCAAACUACUCAUUGGUGCUUCCGGGUAAGUCAGCUUAGGGUGCUAUCCAGCUUUUAUCUUGUUGUCCUUCUUGCUAGUUUUGUCGGAACUUAUCUUUGGUUUGUUGAUAAUGCAGGCUCGGACAGGAGGGGUCACAUAGUUGAGUGGGUAGAGAAAGCGUCUUUUGUUCGAUUGAAUAAGUUGUUCGAAAUUACUGCCGCCGAGAGGCAGUAUGCAACGCUGCUCACUGCGCGGAACCUGAUGGCUGUUGUCUGGGAGUCCCGUGAGUAUGUCAUCAAUAUUCUCCCCAGGAAGCUGCCAAAGAAGGUAGUGCCUGGGGAGCAUUACAUUCUGAAAGACCUUCCUUUCUACAAGGAGGUGCAACAGGCGGACGCUGAGAAACGUCGAGCGCUCCUUGACGAUCGGGAGAGGAGAAAAAAGGAGGGAACCUUACGGAAGGCUCCGGGGCAAAAACGGUCCGCGUCCUCCCCUCCUGCUGGCGCUCCAGCGAAGAAGAAAAAGAAGACUUCUGAGAAGGGAAAGGAAGUGGAAAUCCCCCCUCCUCCAAAGGAGGUUGUAAUUCCUCCUUCAACCUAUGUGAAAGAGGUAACAAUAAAGGAGCCGGAAAAUCCUGUCCCAGUUUCUGUUUCAAGCGGACCCGGACAUCUUGCGGGUCUGAACCACUCCGGUCUCUCAAUGUCGGCGGCUGGCCGUUUGGCCCUAGUGGUAGAAGAAGCUACGUCAAUAAACCAACCUAGCUCUCCUCAUCCAGAUGCAGAUGCAGCGGAGGCUUCUUGUGCGGCCGUAUCGCCUCCUAUGGCAACCCCAAUGGAGGAAAUGAGGGUAGAAAACUAGGGUCUGCCAUCCUGCGAGUCAAGCCCUCUUGCCCUUGUACCGGUGAAGGGGCCAGCCUCAAGGAGACCGAGUUCGGCGCGGAACCUAAAGUCCGGCCUCCUCGGGCAGCUUCAAGAUCGAUUCCAGGAGACCAUCGAAGUCAGUUGCUCAUCCGUUCAGGAUGACCAUACUGAGGGGAGCGAGACGGAGAUGGCAACUGAGACCCCAGCCGUCUCGAUGGUGGUCCCGGAUGAGGGUACGCCCGGAGAGACCCAUCUGGCUAAAAAUGACGGGGCCCCGGAUCCGGGGGAGGAAUUGCUUUCUAACGCCUCAUCCGGGGGGGGAUCCUGUUGAUGAUGCGGCUUUGCACCCUCUGCUAACCCUUUUUAACUAUGCGGAGUUGGAAGANNNNNNNNNNNNNNNNNNNNNNNNNNNNNNNNNNNNNNNNNNNNNNNNNNNNNNNNNNNNNNNNNNNNNNNNNNNNNNNNNNNNNNNNNNNNNNNNNNNNUUUUGUUUUUUUUGUUUGUGGCCCUUGUUUGUAGUGGGGGAGUGGUUUUCGGGGCAGGGCUCAACACCCCGAUUUAUUUAUUGCCCUGUUGGGGCCCACUGAUUAUAUGAAGCCUUUCGGUUUUCAGGGAAAAAAUAGUGAAGUUCAGUUGCGCUUGAGACGGGAGGGGGCCGAACCCAUUUUUUCCCCCGUUGGGGGGGAAAAGGGGGUUCCCCGGGCAUAUUUAGUGGGGGAAAAGACCCGGGGGGUUUGGAGGGGGCCCCGCUUCCAGGGGGGGGGGGGGGGGGGGGUGAGGCACCUCCGGACGGAAGUUUCAAUUGAAAAGAAGUAGAGGGAAGAUUUGCAGCUGCGCUUAUUAGCGCAAAAAGAAGAGCUGGAGGGCGAGUUUGCUGCGGAGAGAGAGGAACUUGAAGCGGACUACCAAAAUCAAGUGGAUGAUAUGUUCUUCUUCGGCUAUCGCUACAGUAUGAAGAAAAAUGGCAUUAAACGUGAUGUCCCUUCAAUUCCUCCGGGUGAAGAGAAAGAAGCUACUUGACAAGCCUGCUCCCUGACAGUUUUUCUUUUUGUAAUCUUUGCUGCUAUCUUCUUUCUGUAAUUUUUAUAGUCCGGAGACCUCCUUGUAUAUACCUUUACAACUAUUAAUAAAACAUUCUUUAUUCUCAUUUGUGCCUGUCUUUUGCUCUUUUAUUGAUAAUACUGCUUUAAAUUAGACACAUUCCAUGGUCUGAGUAGUGGAGUUUCGUUUAACUUUUGUAGAUGAUAAGCUCCAUUUUGACUUGACUUAGAUAUUAUAUAGGGUCCUUUCCAGUUGGCUUGGAAUUUCCCUGCGUCCAUUUCAGUAGUGUUUUCGAAAACUUUUCUAAGGACCAGCGUACCAUUUUUGAAGCUUCUGGGCCUUACUUUGCGAUUGUAAUGGGCGGAUGCCCUUUGCUGAUAAUCUGCCAUCCGGAUGGCUGCGCUUUCUCUUACUUCAUCUGCCCAAUCCAAGUUUCUUCUUAACUCCUCACUUGCAUCAUCCUGUUUUGCUGCCUCAGUCCGGAUAGUGGGUAACCCUAUUUCGGUAGGGAUGACUGCAUCCAUUCCGUAUGCGAGGGCGAAUGGAGUGUUUCCUGUUGGUCGUCCGGGUGUGGUUUGAUAAGCCCACAGGACGCCGGGCAACUCUUCCACCCACUUUCCUUUGGCUUGUUCGAGUAUUUUCUUUAAAGCAGUGAUCAGAGUUUUGUUUGUGGCUUCUGCUUGCCCGUUACUUUGAGGAUAACGGGGUGUAGAGUAUGAAUUCCGGAUGUUCAGUUCCGAAUAGAAAUUCCGGAACGCAAUACUAUCAAACUGUGGACCAUUGUCGGCUAUAAUGGUGUGUGGAAUUUUAAAACGGCAGACGAUAUUUUUCCAUACGAACUUGGUGACAUCUUUGUCUUUGAUGCUUGCAUAUGCUUCAGCUUCCACCCACUUACUGAAGUAAUUUGUGGCAACAAGUAGGAAUUUCUUCUGGGCGGGUGCGGCUGGGAGAGGUCCUACUAUAUCCAUGCCCCACUGUGCGAAGGGUCAGGAGCUUGAAAUUGGUUUCAAUGUCUCGGACGGCAUAUGUGGAAUGGGGGCGUACCUUUGACAUUUGUCACAUUUUUUAACAUAUGCUGCCGCAUCCUUCUUCAUCGUGGGCCAAUAAUAUCCUUGCGAAUGGGCUCUAUGUGCCAGAGACCGUCCUCUUGAAUGAUUUCCGCAUAUUCCCUCAUGCAACUCAGCUAACAGAUACUGGGUCUCUGAGUGACUUAGGCACCGAAGGUAGGGUCCUGUGAAGGAUCGCUUGUACAAGUGUCCCCCGAUUAUGGUGAAACGGGCAGCUUGCACCCGGACCUUGUGUGUCUGUCCGGAGGUAUUCUGUAAUGCUGUUCGUCCAUUCUUGGCCGUUUGCUUGGUUUGCCUCAAUGGUGUUGCAAGUAGAGGUUUCUGUGACAGAAGGGUUGGUUUGCACAUGUACAGGCAAUAGAAUAGCUUCUUUGAUGGGGAGGGAGGCAGCUAUGCCAGCCAAGGCUUCUGCGCGCCCAUUUUCGGUUCGUCUGAUCUUUUCGAUUGUCCAUUCGGUGAAUCGCUGUAAGGUGUCCCUUACUUUAGUCAGAUAUCGCGUCAUGCGUGCGUCAUUGGCUUCGUAUUCUUUCUGGACUUGUCUUACUACGAGUUGCGAAUCGCUAUAGACCCGGAGCUUGGAAACGGAUAGGGCCAGAGCGAGGUCUAAUCCGGAAAAGAUGACCUCAUAUUCUGCUUCAUUAUUAGAGGCAGGGAAUCCCAGUCGGAUGGCUUACUCCAGGUGUUCACCGGUUGGGGACUGUAGCAAAAGCCCGACUCCGGACCCUGAUGAUCGUGAGGCUCCAUCAACUAGCAAAGUCCACCAUUCUUUUUCAUUUGAUUCCUGGUGUUGGUUAGGCCUUCGGGCAUAUUCUAGCACGAAGUCAGCCAUUACUUGGCCUUUCAUGGACAAUCUGGGUUGGAAUUCGAUUCCAAACUCGCUCAAUUCGAUAGCCCAUUGCAGCAUUCUUCCGGUUAAGUCUGGCUUGUGCAGAAUGUUGCGAAGGGGUUGAUCGGUCAGCACGACCACCGAGUGGGCUUGGAAAUAGGGGCGGAGCUUCUGGGCAGCGCUACGAAGGGCUAAGGCUGUUAGCUCCAUUUUUGAGUACCGGGUUUCUACGUCUGCCAAUGCUCUGCUGACGUAGUAGAUGGGUCUCUACUCCUUAGGUGAGGGGCAGCGAAAUAGAACGGCACUGACUGCCCACUCCGAUACAGCUAGAUACAUGUAUAAUUUUUCUUUUGGGAUGGGGUUGCUUAGGAUGGGCGGCUGCAUAAGACAGUGUUUAAUCUUUUCAAAAGCGUUUUGACAGCUGUCUGUCCAUCCGCUUGCUCCAGCUUUACGUAUUGCCAAGAAGAAGGGUCGCAAUUCAUCAGUGAAGCGGGCUAUAAUACGCCCUGAUGCGACGAGUUUGCCCGUGAGGCGCUGUAAUUCCUUCUUACUCCUGGGGUGAGGUGUUUCCAUGACUGCCUUGACUUGAUCCGGGCUGACCUCUAUCCCUCUUUGGCUGACCAUAAAACCCAGAAAUUUGUCAGCACUUACGCCAAAGGCGCAUUUGGAAGAAUUCAGCUUCAUGCCAUAUUUCUUCAAAAGGUGAAAAACCUCUUGUAAAUGAAGAACAUGCUCCUCUCGGGUUUUGCUUUUAAUCACGAUAUCAUCAAUAUAUACCUCUACUAUGUGACCUAUCAGAGGUUUGAAGAUUUUUGUCAUUAGUCUUUGAUAAGUGGCGCCAACGUUUUUGAGCCCGAAUGACAUAACUUUGUAGCAAUAAAGGUCGUGUGGCGUUAUGAAUGCUAUUUUUUCCUCGUCAGACGGGGACAUGGGGAUCUGAUGAUAUCCGGAGAAGGCAUCCAAGAAAGAGAGCAUCCCUUGCCCAGCAGUAGAAUCCACGAUUUGAUCUAUUCGUGGCAAAGGGAAACUGUCUUUUGGACACGCAUUAUUGAGAUUGGUGUAAUCGACACACCCGCCAUUUUCCUUCUUUCUUGGGUACCACCACUACGUUUGCCAGCCAGUUCGGAUAUUCUACUUCUCUGAUGAAUCCGGCUUCUAGCAAUUUGUCAAUCUCAAUCCGGAUGAUUUUUUGUCUAUCCGGGUGAAAGCGCCUAAUCUUCUGCCGGACGGGUCUGGCAGUUGGAAAGACGUUAAGCUUGUGAGAUGUAAUAGAGGGAUGAAUUCCCUUCAUAUCAGCAUGUGCCCAUGCGAAGAUGUUACGUCUAAGGGCGUUUUGUAUGCUCUGGGUCUCUUCUGGUGUCAUGAGGGAGCUGAUGUUUGUGAGGUGAGUACUUUCCUCCGAAAUUUGGAUUGUUUGUAAGGGAUCUGCUGCCAGGGGAUCCUUGUCCACCGGGCCCAAUAAUUGCUAUCGGUCAUGCGGAUUGCUGGGCUCAGGGAGGGAUGCAUCCUCCCGGCUGGUCCCUGCUUCUCGUGCUAUCUAGUAGCAUUGGCGAGCGGCUAACUGGCUGCCAUAUAAGUCAAUUUGCCCAUCGUUGGUAAGGAAACUCACCAUUUGAUGAUAUGUAGAGGGGAUGACUUUCAUGUAGUGUAUCCAUGUGAGCCCUAAGAUGAUAUUGAAGGGUGAUAACUCUUGUACCACUGAGAAUUGUACGUUGAGAGUGACUGGGCUUGCUUGGACCGGCAGUACAAUGUCUCCUAAUGACGUAGUUGAUGACCCGUUGAAUCCGGACAGGAUUCGUCCGGGGUUUUCAAGGCCUGUGAGACUGUGUCUCAUGUGGCUAACGACCGAUGCUUAUACAAGAUUGGUCAAGCUGUCUGGGUCAACCAAGAUGCGUCUCACAUCGAAGUCUCCUAUCUCUAGGGACAAAAUGAGGGUGUCGCGAUGUGGCUGUAGUGUCCGGGUGGGGUCAACUGGUGGGAAAAUGAUUGUCCCAUCUAUGGGGCGAGGGCCCCCUCCAGUUAGCCCAGGCCGGAUGGAAUUGAUGUGUUCGCGUAUUGAUGCGGCCCGCAACAACUUCUGCCUUUUUCGCCUAGAGUCGUACUCCUCGUCAGAUGGACCUCCGUUAAUAUAGUUUAUAACGGCCUUGGGGGCGGCUGGGGCCCUGGGGGCUCCAGGGUUGUGAUGUUGGGAAGUGACUUUUCCUCCAGCAUUUGAGCGGAGGUAUUGCUUUAGAUGUCCUGCCAUGAUGAGCCUCUCGACCAGAUACUGGAGGCUUCUGCAUGUUUCUGUCGUGUGAUCGUGUUCCUUGUGGAAGGCACAUCUCUUGCUAUGAUCCCUUGUGGAUGGGUCCGUUCCUUGGGGUUUGGGCCACCUGAAGUCAGACAGGCCUUGGAUCAUAGGGAGAAGUUUUUCAUAUGAUAUGGAAAGAGGCGUGAGGGGCGGCCUAUCCGGGCGACUCGGUCCCUCCUGCCUUCGAUCGGACGGCCUUGGCCGGUCCGGAGGUUUAGCAUUUCUUUCCGCAUCACCUCUAGAUGGCCGUCCGGCAACCAAAACUUGCUGGGUGGCUGCACGCACGUCAUCUUCGAGCAUUGAAUAUUUGUUGGCACGUCUGAACAAGUCGUCCAUCGUUGUAGGAGGCUUUUUGGCUAGCGAUUCGAAAAAUGGAGUGCUUGGACAGAUGCUUCACUUGAAGAUCUGUAGGACAGCAUCCAUGCUGCAAGCCUCUACCUGGAGUACGGCCUGACCAAAUCGCUUCACAAACUCCCUUAAGGAUUCGUUAUCUUGCAUUUUUAUGUUUUGCAGAGUGCUGAUGUUCUGCUUGUGUCGAGCGGAGCAUAAGUAUUGUCCCACAAAAGCUUCGGAUAGGUCCCUGAAAUUGCCAACAGAGUUGGGAGGUAGGCGAUGAAACCAUGAGAGGGUCUGUCCUUGUAGGCUGGCGGGAAACACUUUACACAGUAGUGCGUCGUUGCCAAUAUCGAGCGUCAUGAGCUGUCGAUAAUGCACGAUAUGAUCGAAGGGGUCGUUGGACCCAUCGUAUGUGGAAAAUUUUGGUACGAGGAAUCCCUUUGGAGGCUCGUAAUGAAUGAUAUGAGAGCAGAAAGGCAUGGAGAGCAUGUCGUCUAGCCUUUUGCUGAUGGAACCAAUUGGUGGCUGGCUUGAGAGGUUUCCCCCAGCUUGUUGUACCGCUAGGUGCGAGUGAACGUUCCGCAUCAUGGGGGUGACCAUGGGGUCACGAUGCGGGUGCAUGUUUUGCACCAUGGGGGUGACCAUAGGGUCAGGGCGUGGUGCCCAGGUUGUGGCUACUGGUAGCAUUGAUCUCCCAGGCUCUUGUGGGCCUAGUCUUGCGCGCAUUGAAUUUGACAACUGAGAUUUUCUGUCACGUUGGCUUUUUGCUGAGAAAUGAGUAGAGUUUGAGCUUUCCUCACGAGGAGCUCGAGGCAUAGGCAUGUGUGGCUCAUGAGGCCUCACGUUGCAUGCCCCUGGGAUAGCUCCUGCUGUUCCAGGAUAUAUAGACUCUGGCUCUGGCCUUGAGUUUGCUACUUGGCCUCUUGAACGCUGACGACGAGGAGGCCCUGAUGUUGAAGCUUGGAUGCGUAAUACAGCGUUUUCCUCUCUUAAUCUUUCUGUCUCCUGGAGGAGAGCUUUCAGUUGUCGUUCGCUUGCCAACUGUCUCCUUUCGAUGGUUUGACACCAUUCAAAAUUAUCCUCCUCUCACCUACCAGAUGAACGGCUUCGGGAAGGUGUGGCCAUCUUUGCUAGUGACUGAAUCAAAUGAAAAUUUUUCCCACAGACGACGCCAAUGUUGAGGCCUCGCGUCGCUAGUGAUCCACGUAGUUGCCAAAUGGAUGAACGCACGAUCUCAACCAAUAUAGGUUCUUGAUUCAGUUGCUCCACUUGCAAAAGGCGUUCGGACGGGGUGUCCGGACGCACCCUCCGAAGGUUUUGUCAGCCAUGGUUAGAGAGAGAUAAAUCAGUUGGCCUUUUACUAGGAAUAGCAAGCUUACCUUCCCCAUUGUGUGAAGGUUUGUAUAUAUAGUUAUCAGAAGCUUUGUUCCCCUCUUCAAUGGUGGGGAGAUAUUUUGUGUUGUCAUGAUGACACUAGGUGGUGGUAGGGCCAUCAUCACCCUACGGGCGGUUGACAGAGAUCGUGGUAGGUGAUGCGGCUGUCAGAGAUCGUGGUAGGUGAUCAUGUGAAAUGAUCGUGGGAAGUGACUUGUUGUCACUUCGUCUUAUCCCUUCACUUUGCAGGUGGCGGAACGUGGGCCAUGGCAGGCUGUUGUGAUAACGUGUAAGACUUGCUUUACUUCAGUCAAUGACCCAGACAAUCAUAUCCGGAUGUUUAUGUUUAUAAGUGUCGUUUGCCCUUCCUUAAGGCAGUCCGGAUAGGAGAAGUGCGCCUCUUGGGAAAAUCCGGAUGAGGUUGAUCCGGAUGAGAAUGCGUGCCACGCGUUAUCAGGAUAUGUGUGCCACGUGUGGGGAGGGGUCCCUACACACCCCAUAACCACGCUCUUAUAUUUCAGGUGCCAUGAAGCCUGCCCAUUUUUCUCCAUCACGGUGAACUUUGCAACUUCUUGCACCUUCGGAUCCUCCACGUCCUCGAUCCAAACAAAGCUGCCGACUAGCACUUGAGCCAUUGUAUGGCAGCUGGAGAGACUGGUCAAAAUUUUGGUUUAUGGACGGUUUUUUGUGGGGGUGUGGUGACACCGGCGGUGGAGGCAGUUUGAAUUUAUAAGCUUGGAAAGGAAGAAUGAUGGGAACUGCCCUUCAACUUUCUUGGAAUUACAGGAAUAUCAAUCGUGGGUUUGGACAAGGACAUCUCUGAAAAUUGAUUUUGAUAUUAUCACUUUCAUAAUUAUUAAGAGGUAAUAGAAAAAAAAAAUGUAAAAAACAUAAAAAUUAUCUAGGGCAUGGAAAUUUUUUUUUUUUUAAAUAUUGAAUAAUUUUAAAAUUCAUGUUUGGCAAUAUAACUUUUUCACACAAAUAAUUUUAAAAUUGAAAAAUCAUAAAAAAUAAAAAUAAAAAUUCAUCCAAGAUGGUUUUUUUUUUUUAUAAAAAAAAUAGAAAUCAAAAUUAAUGAAAAAUAAAUUCAUUGCAAAAUCAUAAAAAAUCAUCUAAGAUUUUUUUUUUUUUUUACUUAUUAUAUUACAAAUAUGUUUGUUUUUGUUUUUAAAAAUAGAAAACAAAAUUAAUAUUAAUAAACAUAUUUAUUAUAGAUUCUAAUUUUUAUUCACUUCUGUCAAAAUCCCAUCUAUAUUAGAGAACCUUUCUACCACUCAGUGGUGGCAAUAUUGGCCACCAAGAAAUCUUUUAGGUCGAAUGUGCUUACCCCUUUGGCACCAUGAAUGUAUGGACCCAAAGCAUUCCAUGAAUGGAGAGAAGAAUCGUCCCCAUUUUUAAUCUCAUUAGAUUUUUUUUUGAAGAGAAGUAAAUUCAAAUAAAUUUUUUUUUUCAAGUUUUUAAUUAUUUCUUCUUAGUGGGACAUAUAUUAAAAUGGUAAAAUUUUGACAACUUGUUCUGUUCAAUAAUAUGGAUAUUCACCAAAGAUGGUGGAAAAAUCAAUCAAAUAGUUUUUUUUUUUUUAAAAAAAAAAAAAAAAGAAGAAAAUUAUAGAACUCAAACACACAAAAGUAUACUUGCAAAGCAUCUUAAUUUAAUGGGAUGGUGAGGCCAAAAAUAUUCUCUUCACAUGAAUAAUGCAUACAAGAAUUGUCCGUUUCUGUUCUCAUUUGAUUUUUAUGCUUUUUUUUUAAUGGAUAUUGGAUAAAAGAAUCAACUAUCAAUUUCUAUUUUUACCCUCUGUUUCCUUAUUGAUGUAAGACAAUGGAGCAAGAAUCAAUUCUUGAUGUAGAAUUGAUAUAGGAAGCAGAACACAUUCAUGGAAGAACAGAAAUGAGAUAGAAAUAUAGAAAAAGUAUAGAAAUAAUAAUAAUAAUUUUGUGAAUAGCAACAAGAAUGACUUUGGUAUUUAAAUCUAUUUGUUUACAAUUUAAGAACCAUAAAUCAAUAAANNNNNNNNNNNNNNNNNNNNNNNNNNNNNNNNNNNNNNNNNNNNNNNNNNNNNNNNNNNNNNNNNNNNNNNNNNNNNNNNNNNNNNNNNNNNNNNNNNNNAGUUUAGGAAAUGUGGUAACAUUACAUUGAUGAGUAGAAAAAAGGUUUGUUGGAUUAUGAAACUUGAAUUAAUUUUAUUGCGCAUCAUUGGAGAUGCCAGGGUGAAGCUUCCCGCUGAACUCACAAAGAUCAAGUUUAUGAACUUGCCCCUAUGAUACAUUUAACUCUCUUUUGAUUUAAGGUUUUAUUUUUUAGAAAAAAAAAAAUUAAAGUAUGACCACAAUUGAAAUGAGAGUAAGAGUGUUCAACAUUAUAAUCCUUCUUUUUCGUUUAAUUAAUAGAUUUUUUUAGUAUGAGUGCAUUCUUAGACAUGAGAAUCACAUUAAUUAAUUGUAAGUUGAACAAUCUUAAAAUUUAUUUUUCUUUUAUUUGUUUUUGUUCGUAUGUGUGAUGAGAUUAACAUGUACUACAAAGUAGUUAUAAUGUGUAUAUGAUUGUAAAGAAGAGAUAUACCUAGGAGGGUCUGUAAUUUUGUUGGACUUAAUUGCAACGUCAUCUUAUUGAGACUAGAAAGCUGGGACUACAAUAAUGAAAUCAUGUUACAAUGGUUUUGGAUAAUCACAUUAAGUUGUCAAGUAAUUUGCUUCUCAAGUCAUCGAACUUGCUUUUCCCGGUUGUUGAGCUUGAUCUUAGCCUUUUUUCAUGUUGUCAUACCCUCCAAACCAUUAUAUAUGAUCAUUCUAGGUGGUGAACAUUGUUUUAGUUAACCUCCUGGUCAUGCUUCCUAUUUAUAGUUUGAUUAUUUGGACACAUGGACCACCCUGGAAGAUGCGCCUAAAUAACAAAAAAAUAUUCCCUUCCGAGUCAGUAUUCAAACUCUCAUUUGAAAGAUAAAUAGGUUGCUUGGUAUGUUUUGGAGUAAUUCGGGCUACUCGAGUUAUGUAGUCGAAAUUACUUAACCAAUACAACCACCUCAUGAUGGCCGCGGCCAAGUCCAGUCCUCGAACAUAACUAGGUAGCUUACCAAGUAUCUCAAAACAAAACUCAUCAAGAGUCACGAGAUGGAGAGCUUUUAAGGUUUGAGGUUGCAAUAGCCCUGUCAUUUUUUGUCGUAAUAAUAAAUACACAAAAAAAGAAAACAUGAUGGUUACGAUAUGUAAACAAAAACUGAAGACAAUGAGAAGGAAAAAGGGAUGACAAGAAUGCGUAGAAUAAAUCAAGGGUUCAUGCAGGCUGUGACAUGCAUGCUUAAAAAAAGGGCAAUUAGAAAUUCCAAGUUAUACGAAAGUUACCUAUCAUUCUUGAAAAGGAUGAAUAAAAAAUAAAUGUAAUAGAAACCUUGAAAUUAGCUGUGGAAAUCAAACAACUUCAACCUGAUUAUACAAAAGAAACAAUAUUUUUCAUGGAAAAUGACUACUAUUGCAUAGUUAGGAAUCAAUCGGAAGAUAAUUAAGGCUAGUUUGACCAUAUUUUCUAAAAUUUAUUUUUAAAAAUUGUUUUUUAUUCUUUAAGUUGAAGACAAUUUUAAAAAAUAAGUUUCAGAAAAUAUAGCUAAAUGAAUUCAUGUUUUCUUUAUAUUUUUUAAAACUAGUGAAAAUAACUCAUACUUAUUCUUUAAAAAUUAUUCUCUAUUUCAUUUUAUUUUUAAAAAUUACUUAUAGAAAACAAUGUUAAAACAAUCUUAGAAAAUUUUAAAAAUAAUUUUUUAUUUUUAUAAAUAGAAAACUAUUUUUAAAUCAUAUAUUCAAACAUAUUCUCAAAUUUCCAAAAUUAGAGCUAAUAGAAUAAAAAAACAAAAGAAAAAAAAAAGACUAGGAAGAACAAAGGAGAUAUGGAGUCUCACGAAACCAAUAGAAUUCAAACCAAAUAGGUUAUUGAGGAUGGUGUUCGAUCAUCACCCAAUAAGAGGAGCCAUAGCAAGAACAAGCUAUUAAAAGGUAACCUAGCUAAUUAUAACAUAGCAAAGUUAUCUUGGAAUGUGGUAUUGGACUUCAUAAUUAGAUAUAAGAAAUCUAUAAAAUCAAUUUCAUUAGAGUUAGCAGCUCAUAAUUAGAUGCUUCAUUUAUCACCUAGCUAGGUUAGGGCAUGCUAGCCCAGCAACAAAAUCUUGUGAUAUAAUCAAUAACUAGGGAUAUCACGCCAAGCUUCCAAGUAUUACCAUACACUACAAGAAAAAUGGGAAACAAUGACGUUUUUUAAGCGUCAAGAAAGGUAAUAGAUGACGCUUCUCUAAAGCGUCCUCUUCGCCUCUGUCAUUGUAUGUCUUAGGCAACAAUGACACUUUCAGGAAGCGCCAUCUUUGAUAAAAUAAAGGUUUUGUUUUUGGCUGAAAGAUGACUUUCCAAAACUCUAAAUCCGAUCUUCACCGUUCAAAUUUAAGAUUAAUGACUUAUGAACCUCUCCUCCAAAUUUCAGCUUAAUCAGACUAUGAAAAAAGCGGCAUCGGACCUUUGAUGAAAUCUGGGCAUGAUGUAAAAAACCACUAUUUUUCUCUCUUCUCCUCUUUCUCUGUAAUGACUGUCCGAAACUCCAAAUCCAAUCUUCACCGUUCAUAUUGAAGAUACAUGAGCCACGAACCUCUCCUUCAAAUUUCAACUCGAUCGGACCACGGAUGAAGCGGAAUCGGACAUUUGAUGAAAUCUGGGCAUGAUGAGAAAAACCUACGUUUUUCUCUCUUCUCCUCUUUCUCUCUAAUGACUGUCCAAAACUCCAAAUCCGAUCUCCACCGUUCAUAUUGAAUAUACAUGAGCCACGAACCUCUCCUUCAAAUUUCAACUCGAUCGGACCACGGAUGAAGCGGGAUCGGACAUUUGAUGAAAUCUGGGCAUGAUGAGAAAACCUACGUUUUUCUCUCUUCUCCUCUUUCUUUCUAAUGACUUUCCGAAACUCCAAAUCCGAUCGUCACCGUUCAGAUUGAAGAUAAAUGAGUCACGAAACUCUCCUCCAAAUUUCAGCUCGAUCGGACCACGGACGAAGUGGGAUCAAACCUUUGAUGAAAUCUGGGCAUGAUGAGAAAAACUUGCAUUUUUCUCUCUUCUCUUCUUUCUCACUAAAAACGAUGGCUCUCUCCCUUCUUUCUUGUCUUCCAAAAGUUAGGGUUUUCAAUGGAGACUUUAUAACAAAUUUUAAAAUAUCAUGCAUGUCCUUUUUCAAUAAAUUAAAAUAGUAUUCUUUAUUUCAUCUUCCAAUAAUAAUUUUUAUAUAUUGAACUCAUAAUGAAUUUAUAUUGUUUAAUUAUUUGAUAUUUUAGGUUGAUGUCGGUUUAAUUUGAAUAUUGAUAUUUUAAAAAAAAAACUAAUUUAAUAGAAUGAGCUUAAUUCCCAUAAAUAUUAGAAAGUUUUUAUAAAUAUUCUUAUUGCAUUUAGUUUUAUUGUGAGUCUAAUCAUCAUUAAAUUAAUUUAAAUAUUAAUUUAUUUCAUUUUAGUUAAAUAAUUUCAAAUUUAUAUUCAUUAACUAUAAAACAUUCUCAAAUAAAAGGGUUAAACCCAAUAAAUGUGGCCCAAGGCUCGAACAAGUGCUCAAAAUAGACCACUUUUUUAUGGUCCACAAAUAAAUUAACAAAUUAUUUUUAAAUGAAAUAUAAGAUAAUUUCUAAUUUAAUAAAAAUGAAAAAUAGUUUAUGAAAAUAGAUUGUAUUGAUACAAACUAUAAAAAAAAUUAAUAUCAAACAAUAAAAAAAUAAUUUAUUAGGAUUUUAUUUUAUUUAUAUCCAAAUUUUUUUUAAAAAACCUUAAUGUAGCAACUUUAUGUCAUUAAUAUUAAUGUUAAUUUACCAUAAUUAAUUUAUAGAAUAAAAUUCUAAUAUCAAAAUUUGUAUAAGUUAACUUAAAAACAAAAAUUUUAAAAGUCAAUACAACUAUGACACUUCUCAGGAACGUCAUUACAUACCCAUCAAAUAAUGAUGCUUAUAAUAAGUGUCAAGGUAAAUAAUAAAACUAUGACGCUUCUUAUAAGCGUCAUUAUAUACACAGUUAUAAGGAAAAAGAUGACAUCAAAUAAUGACACUUAUAAUAAGUAUCAAGAUAAAUAAUACAACUAUGACACUUCUUAUAAGCGUCAUUGUAUACCCUCAAUAAUGACGCUUUUAGAAAGCGUCAUAAAAUAAAGCGUCAUUAAUUUCAAUUUUUGUAGUAGUGAUAUGAUACAUAACCCAGACAAAAGGUAUACACUUGUAUACACGGUGGAUAUAUAAAUAUAAAUAUAAAUGGAUAAAAAGUGUCUUCAAAUAAAUAUUUAUGUUAUGAAUAUUUUAGGCUAUAAAGAAAAGGAAAUUGUUGUACGGUCCGUAUGGAGAUAUAUUGUGAAAAUGGAAGAAUAUUUUAAGACUCAAUAAUUAUAUAUAGUUUUAUAAUUAAUUUUUUUGCUUUUUAAGACCCCAUAAUUAUAUAUAGUUUUGUAAUGUAAAUAAUGAAUUAAUUUUUUGAUCCAUGUGUAAGAUUUAAAGACUCAAUAAUUAUUUAUGAUUUUAUGGCAUCCUUUUUCUGAUAGGUGUAUAUAAACAUAAUCUAUGGAACUAAAUUAAAACUUGGUGUAACUUCUUCAACCACAACUUAGAGAUUGAUAUAUGUUUUUUUAUUCACUUAUUUAUUUAUAAAGCUGAUAUUGCAACAUCCAUGCCUCGUCGAUCUCCUUACAUCAUCCGUGGAGUUAUUUUUAGCAUAAAUUAAGGAGUAAUUAUUUAUUUAUGGUAAACGAGGCCUAAGCUUGGUGGUGGCUCGCACACCUUAAGCGCUGGGGUCUUCAUCAAGGACCAUAGGAGAAAGGGACCUGAGCUCCAGAGGAAGAUCCAUCCUCUUCCAAUCCAGAGGACGAUCGACCUUCUCCCAAUCCAGAGGACGAUCGACCUUCUCCCAAACAUAUGCCUCGUAGUUGGUCAAGACGUCUUCGUGUUUGGCUACAAGAUGGAGUAGGUGAAUGCGGCCGCGGCCUCUGGAGAGGCGCUGAUACCACCCCUCGUACACGUUAAUGAAUUCCAGGUGCCAGUUCGCCUUCCUGUUUUUCUCCUUCACGGCGAACUCUCCCAAUAAUUGCAGCUGAAAUACAUUGUGGUUCCGAAUCCAUUUGUCACCUUCCAGUUGAGUUAUGAUUCCGCCCAGAUCCAUGUGAGUCAUUGCUCCGUCGAGUUUCAGGGGAGCCGUGUGGCGGUGGAGCUGAACCUGAGCCAUCGUGCGGACGCCGUAGACUUGUCAAAGUUGUGGGUUUAGGAUAGGUUUUUGUGGAGGUGGUGGUGGCAGAUGUGGUGGCGGUGGCUCCAUUUAUAGACUGGGAAAUGAUGAUGAUGAUGAUGGAAAAUGCCCUUCAACUUUCUUGGAGCUACGGGAAUACGAAUCUACGGUUU
rnacentral:lncRNA from 1 species